AGAGAAGAUGGCUGAGAGGUUGAAAGCGACAAUUUGUUUUUCCUUAUAAAUUCUUUA
rnacentral:tRNA from 1 species